rnacentral:rRNA from 1 species
GUCUACAGCCAUAUCACACUGAACACACCCAAUCUUGUCUGAUCUUGGAAGCUAAGCAGGAUUAGGCCUGGUUAGUACUUGGAUGGGAGAAAUUUCGCUAUUUAUU